AAUAAAACUAAUAUAUUAAUUAAAUAAUAAAAAAAAUUAACAAUAUUCAUAGUCUCCAAAAUGUAAAAGACAAAACAUUUUGUCAUCAUUAUCGUCUCUAAAAUAAAAAAAAAACAACACAAAAUAUUAAUAAGUUCAAAAUAAUAAUACAAUCAAACUAAAUGUCAUCUAAAUCAAUUCCAAAGUCAUCAUUAUCGUCGGGUUGUUGUGAUGGCUGUGGUGAUGGUUGUGGUGGUUGUUGUUGUGGUGGUUGUGGCUGUUGUGGCUGAAAGUUCGCCAUCAUGGGCUGUAUCAUAUUCAUGUCCAAGUUGACAGGCUGAAAUUGUGGAGCUUGGAUGUUCGGAUUUGUACUUGCAAAAAUUGUUGCAUUUGGUUGAAGUUGUUGUUCUGGGUCAUAAUGGCUUGACUGAAGUGUUGAACCAUGGUUUGGAAAGCCUCAGGUGGUACCGUUGGAGGGCCGACUGUAGUUGACUGAAAUGGUGAUGCCUCUGAUUGUGAAGAGGAUCUGGUGGCGCCCGAGGCAAAGGCACUAGUGCCCUUCAACUUGCGUCCAAUAUAUCGGUUGUCGCCAUGACGUUGACCAAGUACAUGUGAGACGACUUGUGUCUCAUUGACAGUGGCACUUCCUGGUGAAGAUUCAGAUUGAGAUUGGGAUUGUGUCUGGACUUCUUGCUGCAAGGCAUCCUGCAGUUUAGAAACAAUACAAUUAAUACAUAAUAUAUUUGAAUAAUAUACAUAUAUACAAAACUUAGAAAGUUACUUACAUAUGCAUCCUUAGCAUUCGUGUUCACCCAUCAACGUGUCGGAUAAUUAUACAUGUCAUGGAACGUAUCGAUAAUACUGGGCAAUUCCUUAGUCUGAAGAUUCAUCUUUAGAAAACAAAAUAUCAGUUAAAUAUUGAAAUUAUUACUAAGAAAACUUAAAAUAUUUCAAAUAAUCUAUAUAUUUUUAUUUAGCUUCUUAAAUCGAGCAAAAGCAUAAGAGGUCGAUCAAUGGAGAUUUGGAUACUUCUGUUUUGCUCUGCUGGUAGUAUUUUCCUUUGAGUGUGCCAUGAACUGUGGAGUGGUGAAAAAAUCCAACCAACUUCUGCCAACUCUCAGUGUCCAUGUCCUCUGGUGGAUUCUUUCUGGCUAUCUCGAUAUCAUCAUACCCUCCAUGUUCAUCAAAGUGUCUUUUCUUGCGACCUUUUCUAUCCUUGUAGCGAUCCUGAAACUCUCACUCAAUCCCAGUCUCUAACAGUCGCCACUCAGGGAGAGCUCGAGGGAAGAAUGAAAAUUUCCUUCAAAAAAAAUAAAAUGGUUAGAAUUUUGAAAUUAUAUAUAAAAAAAAAAUAGUACAUGUGAAUAAGUUGAUAAAUUUACCUCAAGCUUUUGCAUCAAUCAUAUUUUGUGCUCAUCCGGAACACCUUGCCACGAGUCAUAAUAUAACGAGACAUGGUGACCAAUAAGGUUAUCAAUAAGUCUCGUGAACAAUGUCCCAAAAUUACUAACUGUUUUGUAGGUUCCCUCCUUCAGAUCAAAUUAUAGAGUCAACGAACCUUUAUUGUAGUUGACAAGUUGCUGUAAAUUUUUGGAUCGAGACCGACCUUUUCCUUUUGUGGCAGCCGCUGCAUAUGUUAAUUAACCAAUAAAAUUAAAUUGAAUAAAAUAAUAACAAUUUUUCAUUUAUUGAUAAAAGAUAGACUAAUUAUAGUAUAUUACCUAUCUCACAGAAAAGUAGGAACUCGUGUGGGAUCUGAAGGAGGAUCACCCGCUCCAUCACCGCCAUGAGAACAAGCAACAGUAGCAGACAUAUCUUUGUAGCUUAAAUAAUAAUUAACUUAACAUUAGUUAUAGUUGGAGGUUAAUUACAUAACCUAAAUAAUUUCAGUAAUGCAUUUGAAACUAUUGAAAAACAAACAUUGUUGAGAAAAUUCAUAUAUUGAUUGAAAAAUCAUGAAAUUAAAGCAUACACAUUAAACAUACAAUAAGAAUAUGCAUAAGAAAAUAUUUGUAACGCCCCACGCCACUAUGGCUGCUUCCUAGAAUGAUGAUUUGCCCUGCAAACCAACAUAAGUCUUUCUAGCGUGUUUUAUCCUCACUUGCACGCUUCCUGAGAAAACUUCCCAGGAGGUCAUCCAUCAUUAGACUACUCUAGAUCAAGCUCGCUUAACUUUGGUGUUCUCAAGUAAUGGGCUACCGAAAAGAAGAUGCAUCUUGUUGGCAUAGGUAGUACCCAUCAAUCCAUUUAAGCGGUCUUUGACUGUAUAGUUCCAUACCUACACAGCCUUAGAAUCACCACACUUGACCUUCCCCAGCUAGGGAAAUCUUUUUGAAGAUUUAUGUUUGAAUUUUGUCGAAGGCAUUCGCUAUAUAGCACAAGGAUUAAGGGAAAUUGUUGAGUACAAACCACUCUGCUUUUUCCGAUGAAGAUAGUCAAGGGAUAUGAUUUUCUUUUUGCUACUUGGACGACAUUGUGAUUCAAAAAUUGACAACUGUCUUUUAGGAAUAACAAUAUUUGCAUUUCUUUUUGAACGAUUAAAUUUUGUCUCUACACCCUGAAGAUAUUGCAAACAAGAAAUCAAAGUUU